rnacentral:tRNA from 4 species
CGGGACGUGGCUCAGCCCGGUAGAGCACACCCUUGGGGUGGGUGGGGUCGAGAGUUCAAAUCUCUCCGUCCCGA